AUGGGGAGGCUGGUUUACAUCAACUCAGUGGUCACUAGCACUGCCAUUUUCUUCCUAACAGCUUUCCAACCGGAUAAAUGGUUCAUUAGAAAGGUGGACAAACUCAGAAGGAAUUUCCUAUGGGAAAUUGAAGAAAGAGCGGCUGGAGGCAAGUGUCUUGUAAACUGGAAGCGGGCCUGCUCCCCCAAGGUUGUUGGUGGUUUAGGUAUCAAGAACAUCGAGUGUUUCAGCCGGGCCUUGCGCUUGAGAUGGGAAUGGUUCAGAUGGGAUGACGCCGAUCGACCGUGGAAAGGAUCUCCUACCCCGUGCGACGCCAUUGAUAGACAGCUGUUCUCGAGCUGCUCCUCUAUUCAGUUGGGUGAUGGUCGACUUGCGCUGUUCUGGAUGGACAGAUGGAUGCAUGGGGAGGCCCCUUAUUUGAUUGCACCGGAGAUUUUCAAGUUGGCGCGGUUCAAGAAAAUUACUGUAAAAGAGACUUUCACAAACGGCCGAUGGAUGCAAGGUCUGCAAAGAAUGAACAACGAUGAGCAGCUAGCACAAUUUGUCAGAAUUUGGGAGGAGGUUCAGCUGGUGAGCCUGUCGGAAGCAAAAGAUGUGAUCAGGUGGCUAACGGCUCCUACUUUGCGUGCUCUGCGUAUGGCAUUCAGUUUGCGAUCAGGAUCGAGCAGCCGGAUCUUGAGAGAAUAUGGAGAUGCAAGAUGGAGGGGAAGAUCAAAUUUUACGUUUGGUUACUCCUGCAGAACAGGAAUUGGACGGCGGAUCGACUGCUAG
rnacentral:rRNA from 1 species